GAUGAACGCUGGCGGCGUGCCUAAUACAUGCAAGUCGAGCGAACGGACGAGAAGCUUGCUUCUCUGAUGUUAGCGGCGGACGGGUGAGUAACACGUGGAUAACCUACCUAUAAGACUGGGAUAACUUCGGGAAACCGUAGCUAAUACCGGAUAAUAUUUUGAACCGCAUGGUUCAAAAGUGAAAGACGGUCUUGCUGUCACUUAUAGAUGGAUCCGCGCUGCAUUAGCUAGUUGGUAAGGUAACGGCUUACCAAGGCAACGAUGCAUGGCCGACCUGAGAGGGUGAUCGGCCACACUGGAACUGAGACACGGUCCAGACUCCUACGGGAGGCAGCAGUAGGGAAUCUUCCGCAAUGGGCGAAAGCCUGACGGAGCAACGCCGCGUGAGUGAUGAAGGUCUUCGGAUCGUAAAACUCUGUUAUUAGGGAAGAACAUAUGUGUAAGUGACUGUGCACAUCUUGACGGUACCUAAUCAGAAAGCCACGGCUAACUACGUG
rnacentral:rRNA from 1 species